GGUUAAGUGCAUCUAGAAGAACACUUUAAGAAUUAUUUGUACACAUCUCCUUUGAAACUGGGCUUCACAUUUAUGUAUUUUGGUUAGUUUUGUUUUUCUGAAACUUUUAAUACCUUAGGAUCAUGGAACAUUGCGGAAAGAACAGAAAGCUUAUAUUAACAGAGGAACAUGGAUUUUUCUGUGAGACUGAGUCUUUUGAGAAUGUCAGAAGCUAUACUCAUAAUGUCUAAUCAACAUGACUUCCUAAACAUGAGAUGAACAAGGACAAAAAUAAAUAUCAAAUUGAAAGUGUCUGCCUAGACAACCCUUCAGCCCAGUACAAAGAUCUAUAAGUGACCAAGGCAUAGAGUGGGAGAACUAUUCUUCUCUAUGUAAAAACAAUCAAAUUGUUACUAAAUACCAAAUGGCCAUCCCUGAAAAUAUAUAUAAAAGUUAAAUUAUAUAGAAUGAGUAGGUUAAAUUUAGGAUUAUACAUGUAUGUACAUAUACAUUUAUAUCUAUGUAUACAUACACAUAAACAUACUCACAAUACAUGUAUACAUAUACUACCAAUUAGCAUAAAAAGAAGCCAUGAAUUUUAAACAGUUCAUGGAGAAAUAUAUGGAAAUAUUUAGAGGGAAGAAGGAAAAUAAGAAAUAAUGUAAUUACAAUCUAAUUACAAACAUAAAACAAAAAUAACAUUUAGAGAUGAGAAAUAAUAUUAAACCUUAUCUGGUAUGAAUUAAUAUAUUUCCUACAGGUUUUCUUCUUAAUUUUUAAAACAUUUUAUUAUAGUUAUAUCAUAUCUCUCUUCCCUUGCUUCCCUCUGAAAUGCUCUACCAAACUUCUCCUGUUCAGAUAUUCCUUUGUUAUUGUUACUAUGUAUUUUAAGUGUACAUAUGUAAAAAUACAAAUGGCUCUGCCUUGUAUAAAUGGAGUUUUAGGUUUGACUACAUAGAUUUUGAUAACUAAAUCAUAGGCUCAUCUUGUAGCAGACAAGACCCAACCCAGAUUAAACUCAUCUGAUCUUUGGUAUUCUGUGUCAAAUCAGAUAAUUUCCAGUAAUCUGUAGGAUAUUACACUCAUUGUGGCAUAUAAAUAUAUUAUGCAUUAUUUGUUUAUUGUUUUAAGAUUUAUUUAUUAUUAUAUCUCAGUACACUGUAGCUGUCUUCAGAUGCACCAGAAGAGGGUGUCAGAUAUCAUUACAGAUGGUUGUGAGCCAACAUGUGGUUGCCAGAAUUUGAACUCAGGACCUUCGGAAGUGCAGUCGGUGCUCUU
rnacentral:lncRNA from 1 species